CUCCGCGGGGAGCCGGAGGGCACCGCCGCCGCUGCCUGCGGGAGGAGCCGGGGCUGCCGGGGCCAGCGGGGGCAGCGCCUUCCCUGCGCCGCCGGGCCCGGGGUGGCGGCCGGAGCGGGCUGGGCUCGGCUCGGCGCGUCCCGCCGCUGCCCCGAGCCCCGCGGAGGGAGGAGGGGCCGCUGUGCGCGGGGGGUGCCCGCCCUGUCUGGCUGCCCUCCUAUUUAAUAGGAAUUUAAAAAAAAAAAAAAAAAAGCCUCGUUUUCUAUCUUACCUUCUUCACCGCGCUGCAGCUGUCUGGCUGAGGGGCGAGCUGGGGACGCUUCGCUAGCAGAGCUCUUUCCCCCCGCCCCUCCGCUCGGGUUGUAGUCGCAGUCCUCCGUGUGUGAAAUUACGUCUGCGAGCCGCGUUAGGGGUUUGUGUGUUUUGUAUUACUCCAAAUCCAACUGAACCUAAGUGUUCACCCUGGAGCUGCCAACUUUUUGGGUGGAGGGUGCAUUUGCAAAGAUGCGUUGGCUCAGAUCUGCACCCUUCCCAAAGCAUGGAAGUGACUGAUCAUCAGAAAGAGUUCCAGGUCUCUGAAGGGGAUCAUUGUAAGCUACUGGAAUGCAAGCAUUUGAAAUGGGGAUUAUUGGAACAUUGUUGUACCUUGAAGAUUGGAUAGCCAAGUCCUGUGUGAAGCUGUCAAGCCUGAGUUUUUGUUUGGUUGUAUUUUUUGGGGUGUUUUGUUUUGGGGUUUUUUUUUUGUUUUUUUUUUGUUUGUUUGUUUGUGUUUUUUUUUUUUUUUUUGUUUUUUUGUUUUUUUUGGUGGUUUUUUUUUGGUUUUUUUUGGGUUUUUUUUUUUUUGUUUUGUUUUGGUUUUUUUUUGUUUUUUUUUUCUUUGCUAACAGUGGGGCUGAAGAUACAUCUGUAAGAACAUGGCUCAUUUGUUUGAGAUGUGAUGAAAUGGAGGCCUGUAGGCAUAUAUUGUUUGCGACUCACACUGAUUAUUUCUGAUGUCUGCCUUUGUAGUCUUCUAAUAU